AUCCGGCUGACGAGUCCCAAAUAAGAGAAAACGUGCGUCACGGAU
rnacentral:hammerhead_ribozyme from 1 species